UGGCUGUGGUGAUGAUACUGACCAUUGUCUUUAUCCUGAAACAGUUCAUGUGGGUCAGUCACUACCUCCUCUGAACAGUCC